CAACAACUGUAAAAAUGGAAUUACAAUAACACACAAAAGUUUUGAGUUUUCGUGGGAUAAGUGACUUACAGCUCUCUAACAUUAUCUCAGAGACUGAAGGAUCAGGCCUGAAUCUGCUCUGGUUUUGCAAUCCCCUGUCCUGCUCAGAGCCUACCUUUUCGCAAAUCUGUGGGGUACGAAUUCAAGAGAAAGACAAGAGUGGAACACUCACACGUGGUGAUAACUCAGUCAAGCCAGACUUGAAAAGACACCACAUCCCAGAGCAUGCCUUCCAGACUGAACAAAACAAAUACCACUCCUCAAUUCCUACUCUGGAGCCCGGGCCCUCCAGCCCAGUAUGCCGGGAAACUGCAGCUCUGGACAGAUGGGAAUCUGUCUUGAGUCUGAAGCAUGAAUUUGAUGCCAAGUUCUGGGGCAAAGGAGACAUCUCAACGUUACAGGCUAGCGAAUGAAGCCAGGUGAGCAU
rnacentral:lncRNA from 1 species